AUCGCUUCUCAGCCUUUUGGCUAAGAUCAAGUGUAAAAUUAAACCAGGUUAAAAAAAAAGCUCUAAGUUUGUGUGUGUGUGUGUGUGUGUGUGUUUCAUUUGUUUUGGUUUUUUGAUAUAGGGUUUCUCUGUGUAGCUCUGGCUGUCCUGGAACUCACUCUGUACAUCAGGCUGGCCUUGAACUCAGAGAUCCUUGU